AACCUCUUAACGCUUUUCCUCCCAGAUGCCGAGUUGUACACCAAGUUGUUUAAUGAUCAUUAGUGUUUCGUUCAAGAGCUGCCGCCGCUGAGGCUGUUUGAGGGCAAUUGAAAGGCGCGUUAGUGGGAAAGUUUCACAUUGCAUUUAU
ensembl:ncRNA T18D3.12 ncRNA